AUUGAACGCUGGCGGCAGGCCUAACACAUGCAAGUCGAACGGCAGCACAGAAGAGCUUGCUCUUUGGGUGGCGAGUGGCGGACGGGUGAGUAAUGUCUGGGAAACUGCCCGAUGGAGGGGGAUAACUACUGGAAACGGUAGCUAAUACCGCAUAACGUCGCGAGACCAAAGUGGGGGACCUUCGGGCCUCACACCAUCGGAUGUGCCCAGAUGGGAUUAGCUAGUAGGUGGGGUAAUGGCUCACCUAGGCGACGAUCCCUAGCUGGUCUGAGAGGAUGAGCAGCCACACUGGAACUGAGACACGGUCCAGACUCCUACGGGAGGAAGCAGUGGGGAAUAUUGCACAAUGGGCGCAAGCCUGAUGCAGCCAUGCCGCGUGUAUGAAGAAGGCCUUCGGGUUGUAAAGUACUUUCAGCGGGGAGGAAGGCGGUGAGGUUAAUAACCUCGCCGAUUGACGUUACCCGCAGAAGAAGCACCGGCUAACUCCGUGCCAGCCGCCGCCGUAA
rnacentral:rRNA from 1 species